rnacentral:rRNA from 1 species
AUACAUGCAAGUCGAACGAGAAAGCACUUCGGUGCGAGUACAGUGGCGGACGGGUGAGUAACGCGUAGGAAUCUACCUAGUAGUGGGGGACAACUCGAGGAAACUCGAGCUAAUACCGCAUACGCUCUAUGGAGGAAAGUGGGGGAUCUUCGGACCUCACGCUAUUAGAGGAGCCUGCGUUAGAUUAGCUAGUUGGUGAGGUAAAGGCUCACCAAGGCUACGAUCUAUAGCUGGUCUGAGAGGACGAUCAGCCACACUGGAACUGAGACACGGUCCAGACUCCUACGGGAGGCAGCAG